CCUACGGGAGGCAGCAGUGAGGAAUAUUGGUCAAUGGGCUUACGCCUGAACCAGCCAAGUCGCGUGAGGGAAGACUGCCCUAUGGGUUGUAAACCUCUUUUGUCAGGGAGCAAGGGGCGCGACGUGUAGCGUUAUCGAGAGUACCUGAAGAAAAAGCAUCGGCUAACUCCGUGCCAGCAGCCGCGGUAAUACGGAGGAUGCGAGCGUUAUCCGGAUUUAUUGGGUUUAAAGGGUGCGUAGGCGGGAUGCCAAGUCAGCGGUAAAAUUGCGGGGCUCAACCUCGCUCCGCCGUUGAAACUGGCGGUCUUGAGUGGGCGAGAAGUAUGCGGAAUGCGUGGUGUAGCGGUGAAAUGCAUAGAUAUCACGCAGAACUCCGAUUGCGAAGGCAGCAUACCGGCGCCCAACUGACGCUGAAGCACGAAAGCGUGGGUAUCGAACAGGAUUAGAUACCCUUGUAGUC
rnacentral:rRNA from 1 species